rnacentral:rRNA from 1 species
CAGUCGCCGCGGUAAUACGGAGGGUGCAAGCGUUAUCCGGAUUUAUUGGGUUUAAAGGGUCCGUAGGCGGAUCUGUAAGUCAGUGGUGAAAUCUCACAGCUUAACUGUGAAACUGCCAUUGAUACUGCAGGUCUUGAGUAAAUUUGAAGUGGCUGGAAUAAGUAGUGUAGUGGUGAAAUGCAUAGAUAUUACUUAGAACACCAAUUGCGAAGGCAGGUCACUAAGAUUUAACUGACGCUGAUGGACGAAAGCGUGGGGAGCGAACAGGAUUAGAUACCCCAGUAGUCCCUGUCUCUUAUAA